CUGAAUCUAUAUAAUAAUUGAAUCAUACGGUUGAAUAAAAUUCUCAGUUAUCGGAUUCAAUAGAAUUAAAAAACGAAUUCUUAUACAAUGUACAAGACAUGAAAUAACGCGUAAGCGUAUAGAAAUCCUCACCGAUGACACAACGUUUCAAUUGCAUGCACAAUAAUACCGGCUAAAUAAAAACGCGGAUAGUUUUAUAUACAAUACAUAAGUAUACACAGGUAUUUAUUUAUACAAGUGUAACGUAAGGAGUAUUAUUAGAAAUUUAGUGGGCGGUCAACCAAACUGAUAUUCUCAAUAAAUAGAGACGUAUCGAAAUCGUUCGCGGUCGCAACAAGUGAACUGAAGAGUACGCAUCCUCCAUUCGUUGUAUAAACUCGGGUAUUUUGCAACGUCUCACAACAAGCCUAAAGAGACGAGGCGGAUGGUUACGAUGUCCCGUCGCAUAAUAUACUCGUCUCUAUGCACAUAGCAGAUGAAGCAGAUUCUUCAAAUAAUUCACGCUCAACAAAUUGAAAAAGAAAUUUCGAAAAAGAAAUAAUGAAGAAAAUUUCAAUAGAUGCUUAAAAGAAUAAGGACAUGAUUACCGUACACCAGAUUGUUGUAAUUUUUACGACUAGGAUUUGGAGAAAGAAUAAAAAAGGCGGGUGAAACGGCGCCACGUGGUCAGCAGAUGUCAGGUACAUACAUGCAUACGUAUUAUGUAUGAUAAAAUAAGCUGUCUAAUAAUAAUAAUAAUUACGUGCGCGUGAUAACCCACAUACGAUCUGAUUAUGAGAUAAUUUUUGCCCCGAUUUCCGCGGUUACACGCUGAACGAGAAUCGUCGUGAAACAUUAACAAUUUGUUUCUCAGGGGAUUCUCUGCGAUUGAUACGUGGAUAACAUCGUCAAGGAAUCCCGAUUGUCGUUGCUGCAUAUCGAGGCGAAAUAAAAAAAAAAAGAGAGAGAGAGAGAGAGAGAGAGA